UCGGGAAUUUUGGGCAAUGGGCGAAAGCCUGACCCAGCAACGCCGCGUGAAGGAUGAAGUUUUUCGGAAUGUAAACUUCGUAAGAAUAGGAAGAAUAAAUGACGGUACUAUUUGUAAGGUCCGGCUAACUACGUGCCAGCAGCCGCGGUAAUACGUAGGGACCAAGCGUUGUUCGGAUUUACUGGGCGUAAAGGGCGCGUAGGCGGCAAUUCAAGUCAGCUGUGAAAUCUCCGGGCUUAACUCGGAACGGUCAGCUGAUACUGCUUUGCUAGAGUGCAGAAGGGGCAAUCGGAAUUCUUGGUGUAGCGGUGAAAUGCGUAGAUAUCAAGAGGAACACCUGAGGUGAAGACGGGUUGCUGGGCUGACACUGACGCUGAGGCGCGAAAGCUAGGGUAGCAAACGGGAUUAGAUACCCCGGUAGUCCUAGCCCUAAACGAUGAAUACUUGGUGUCGCGGGUAUCGACCCCUGCUGUGCCGAAGCUAACGCAUUAAGCACUCCGCCU
rnacentral:rRNA from 1 species